CCUUCCUCCAUCUGCAGGGCCGGCAGUGGUGGUGGAGUCCUCGCGGCAUGUCUUUUUGACCCCAUCUGCCCCCUCGUCCACUCUGGAGACCUGUGAUCACACCGGGCCUCCCUGGGUAACCCAGGGUGAGCUCAGCUGAUCAGCCAGUUCCCAUCUGCAGCCCUAACCCCGCUUUGCCAUGUAAUUUAACAUCCUCAGGUUCUGGGAAUUACAAUGUGGACACCUUUGGGGGCCUCUUACUCUUCUGGCCAUGACAAUGAAAUCAGAAUUUCUGGGGUGGAGCUGGAGCUUCAGUAGUUUAUAAACUUCCCAGGGGAUUCUGACACGAGGCCCUCAGCUGGGAUUGGUUAUGGGGAUCCCUGCAGGGCUUUAAGUGAAGAAGCGAGGCAACGUGCCUUAUAAUUAGAGAGACCACCCGAGCCCGGGGCCAGGGCGAGCUGGUGGGGCUCUGGUGAGAGGACCAGAGACAGCUGUGAGAGUCAAGGGGCAGCCGCCGAGCUGAGAGCGGCGGCUCUGAGCCUAAGCGUUCCGUGAGCGCACGUGGGUGGUGCAGGAAUGGGAGGACUCCCAGGCGGGCCUGGGCCUGGCAGUGCCAAGGCAAAAGGCAAGGCACCCGUGGGACGGAACCCAGGAGGAGGAGCCAGCUGGGGAAACGUUUGAGCCGUUGGAGGGACGCCCAGGGCAGUGCGACAAAGACAGGCCCAGAGGUGUAGCCACAAUCCGCCAGUGACGAGGGUGGUCAGAGCCAGGGAGACAGCCUAAGUGCCCUGGCGCGAGCCUCCAGUACAGUGUUGGACAGAAGUGAAGAAAGAGGACACCCUUGUCUUUUGUUCCUGAUUUAGAGCAAAGCCUCCGGUGUGCGUCAUUACAUGGAGCAAAACUGCCUUAGCCCUGGAAUUUGUCAAAGCUAAUUAACAGAAAAAUCUCCUCAGUCCACUCCUGGGGCAGCCACGUCUGUUAGCGCAAAUGACGGCAAUUCUCACAUCAAAGCUCUUGCUUUGCUGAAAUAUCCAUCCAUCUUUGGAGCAGGAGACUCAUCGGGAAAGAAUUCCCAUCUUGUCGGAGGUUCAGGAAGGAGUGACAUGAAAGCAAUAGACUGUUUCCUCAGAAUUCUGCAGGAUUUCAAUGGUUCGCAUGGAAUUACAUGCCCUCUUAGACUUGGGAGGUUUAAAUGGAAACAUGCACAGUUCAUGGUUCAUACUUGAUGGGAUAAUGGUCAGCGCCUUCUAAAAACUCAGCGAACCCCAGAAGCUGCCGAAACCGGAAGUCUGCAGUGAGGGCCGGAAGCUCUCAUCGGACGUGGACUUUCUGUCGUGCACAGAGCGGCAUCUGAUUCUCGCUCGGAGGGCUUCCGCCUCCCCAGGCAGAGGGCCCGAGCACUUGAUGUCAGAACACAUUCACACACACGUCCAUGUAUUUACUUACACAGACACACACUUGCACACACAUGCAGACCCACACGCAUUCCUGGCCUCCCCAUGUGGGGGGCAGAUUCGCUCCUUCCCCCGCCCUCUGUGGUGUGAAGCCGACCUGGGUCAUAUCUCUGUUUAUUUUUACACAGAGCGACUCAUCAAUUAACUGUCAACUUUGAGGUCUGGCCGAUCAGGAACGGUUUCUGCAACACUAACUCACUGCGCUCACCUCUCCCGGGGCCUCUUCAGCUAUUCUCCAAUCAACGGUAUCUAGACAAGGAUCCUGCAGCCCUUCUUUUCCAGGGGGCGCACAGGAGAAGCUGGGGUGUCCUCACCAUCCUGCAGGGGCCCCUGCUGGCUCUGGGGCUGCAUCUGCUCUUGGAGGAGCCCAGCCCACCCAGGGAAGCUGCACCCGCCACGGGGUCUGGGGCUGUGAACCUGGAGGUUAUUGUUCAGGUUCUGGUGCUGGGCGCUGUGGGGAUCUGCUGAGGAAUUUGGCUCCCCUUCCUGGGGGAGGGGAGCACAUACCCCCCCACCCCAGUCCCCACCACGCGCACACACACACCGUCUUGUCUGUGGGGCAGUACCUGGCCCAACCUCAUGGCAAGGCCCAGGUGUGUCAGUGAGCCCUGGUGAUCAGUGACAGGGUGGGACAGGAAGCCAGCUCUUAGCCCUGUGCCCCUCCCAGCUCUGGGCUGCACUUGCUCUUGCUUACCCACAUUUUCCUUCUUAUCCUGAAUGGGUCUUUUCUUCUCCCAUUUCUAGAGGCCUGGCUUAGCACGAAGUGGAGGCUGCUUGGGCCCCUGGUCACGGGAUGGCUCUGCCCAGGUCAAGUUCGACUUGUCUCUGGAACCCUCAAGAGCUCCCACUUACUUGGGGCCCCACCCCCUGAGGGCCCAGUCACAGCACCCUCAUCCCCCAAGGUGACCUGGGUGGCAGGCACUGCUGUCCCCACCGCCCCCUUGUCGGGGCCUGCCCUCCUGCUGCACAGCCCACAGUAGCGUGUCUGUAAGGCCCUUCUGGGGCGAAGCUUUGCACAGGCAGCCCUCAUGCCUCCUUAAUUCUCGUGAUAACCAUCUGGGGAAACUCGGGCUCAGAGAAGCAACUGGUAUGCCCAGGUUGGUGCAAAUCCAGGUGGUAAAGCUGGGAUCGGGGCUCCAGCACUUGACCCCCACCCCCCACUCCUCUGUGUAGGGACACACGCUGUCCUGCAUCCGCGGAUCACAAAGGGAGGUUAGGUGGCGGUGGCAGGAGGCAGUGGGUGGCCCGGCAGCCAGAGCCUUUGGCCUGACCCCUUCCCAGAUGAGAGGGGUGAGCCAGACCCCAGGCUGUGCCGGGCCGCGCUUCUCAUCUUUAUAGUGAGAUGGUAAGAUGAAAUGCAGGCGUCAUCCACAAACCCAAAGCUCUGUUAACAGUCUGGUGGCCUUGAUUCCCAGUGCCAUGUGCGCUUCUGGAGGGGAUGAGUCGGAUGGCCAUGAUGGAGAGAAAUGGAGGCGCUGAGUCCCAGCAGCCAGGUGGGGGCUCUGCUGUCCGGGGGAGCCAGCAGGGGGUUGGGGUGCUGGAGGAGGAAGGGGUCAGAGAGGAGGAAUUGCAGAGGUUUCCGUGCUGCAGAGAAUGACAGCAGGAGAUACCAGAGAGAGGGGCAAGCCAGGAGACCAUCCCUGCAGAUGUGAGCUGGGGGCCUCUGGGCGGUGGGGGUGGCCAUAGGGAGAAGCAGGGGCAGGUGGGAGGGGCCGGGACAUAGACACAGUGCAGGUGAAGGGAGUAUGUGGUGUGGAGGCUGCAGAAUUCUCUUCCAGUGACUUCUCAGAAACUGCAGUUAGUAAGGAGAAGGCAGGACUGUUAGAGGUGCUAGGAAGAGGCGAAGGAUGUGAUUUUAGAAGGGUGUUUGGUGAGUGUGUUAUUGAUCUAUUACAUGAGAAAGGUCCCGAGAUGAAUCAUACAGUUUGGUAAAUAUGUAUAUAUUUAUUAUAUGUAAUAAUAGAAGAAAUGCAAGAGCAAAAACACUGAGUAGGUGGUGGGAUUUAGGAGUAAUUGUUUUUCUUUUAGGGGCUUUGCUCUUUGUCUAAACUUUUUAAUGAUGAAUAUGUACUUCGUGAUUAAAAUGUUAUUUAAAAGUAAAGCAAAAUGGUCGAAGAGACUAUUUGGUCUGGAAUAAAAAGGACUUGGGGUGCACAGUGAUUGUCUUAACAUUUUUGAAGAAAUGUCACAGGAAGAGGGAAUCAACUUAUUUUUGCUGCCGCGGCUGGGGGAGGCUGAUGACAAUGGAAACUAUAAACACGAAGGCAAAGAGCUUCCUAUUAGCAAACUUGUCCAUAACUGGGGUGGGCCGUGUCGGGGGCCAGUGUGUUCUCUGUCCCAGGAAGAUCACCUGGUGGGACGGUGGGGCUGCAGGACUUCCAGAGCAGGAUCACGAUGGCGACGGUGGCCGUGGUGGUGGUGGUGGUGCUGAGGGUGAUGCCGGUAUAAUCACUUAUGUUACGUUGACAAGCAUAAAAUACUCCUUUUCAUAUCGGGCCGAUACGUGCCCCACCGUCAGGGAGGCACUCAGGUGUGACGUCAAUCACCCAGCAGCGUGAAUGAGGCUGAAAGGAGAUGUCACUGCUGACCCAGAGGUGGGGCUGAAGGGGACGCCAGCCCAGUGCUCUGCUCCUGUUCGAUCGGUGGUGCCUUGUGCAAAUCAAAGGCAUCUAGAAAGAAAGGUACCCUCUGUGGAUCUUUGGUGCACUGCUCAGGCCCACAUCUCCAUAGGCUCAGGAAGUGUGGCCACAGCCUGAGUCCCAGGACCGGACAGUGUGGGGUGAGGAGCAGACUUAUGGGGACCAAGGGAGAGAAGUGUUUCUGGGCGGGGACCAGUCUACGAUGACCUUUCCCUCCGUCUGCGGCAGGGGGCCUGCCUAGGUGGCUGUCUCCCUAGGGUGGGCCAAGCCACCCUCGGGACCCUCUCCUUGUACUUCACCUGCCUUCCCACUUCUUAGCCGGCCCUUGGAUAGGGAAGCCUGUGUGAACCCCCUCCCUGCCCAGCCUCUGCUUCCCCACAUCCGCGUGGCUUCAGGC